rnacentral:ncRNA from 1 species
GGCGUUUGACUAGCCGGAAAAAUAAAUUCAGCAAAAAAAAGUUAAAAAAAAAAAAUUUAAAAUGUCAAUGGCAGAGAACCGCGCACACUGGGACUGAGACACGACCCAAAUCAUACGGUACGCAACAGUUGGGAGUUUUCCGCACUACGCGAAAGCCUGACGUAGCAAUGACGCGUGGAGGUGGAAGGCCCACGGGACGUUAACUUCUUUUCCCGGAGAAGAGGCAAUGAUGGUAUCUGGGAAUAAGCAUCGACUAAAUUAUAAUUAAUAUAAAUAUGAUACG